rnacentral:rRNA from 1 species
GACGAACGCUGGCGGCGUGCCUAAUACAUGCAAGUCGAACGCAGUGGGGACGGGUGAGUAACACGUUGGUAACCUCCCAUCAGAGGGGAUAACACUUGGAAACAGGUGCUAAACCGAUACUGAUGGAUGGACCCGCGGUCCAUUAGCUAGUUGGUGAGGUAACGGCUCACCAAGGCCACGAUGCAUAGCCGACCUGAGAGUGUGAUGAUCCACACUGGGACUGAGACACGGCCCAGAGUCCGACUUUGUUCAACAGUAUUAAAUCUUCGGCAAUGGACGAAAGUCUGACCGAGCAACGCCGCGUGAGUGAAGAAGUUUUUCGGAUCGUAAAACUCUGUUGUUAGAGAAGCGGUAUCUAACCAGAAAGCCACGGCUAACUACGUGCCAGCAGCCGCGGUAAUAC